rnacentral:rRNA from 1 species
GGAGCCGUAGGGAAACCGAGUCUGAAUAGGGCGAAUUAGUAUCAUGACGUAGACCCGAAACCAUGUGACCUACCCAUGAGCAGGUUGAAGGUGCGGUAAGACGCACUGGAGGACCGAACCAGGGCACGUUAAAAAGUGCUUGGAUGACUUGUGGGUAGCGGAGAAAUUCCAAACGAACUUGGAGAUAGCUGGUUCUCUCCGAAAUAGCUUUAGGGCUAGCCUCGGAAGUAAGAAUGAUGGAGGUAGAGCACUGUUUGGACUAGGGGCCCAUCUCGGGUUACCGAAUUCAGAUAAACUCCGAAUGCCAUUCAUUUAUAUCCGGGAGUCAGACUGCGAGUGAUAAGAUCCGUAGUCGAAAGGGAAACAGCCCAGACCACCAGCUAAGGUCCCAAAAUAAUUGUUAAGUGGAAAAGGAUGUGGGGUUGCACAGACAACUAGGAUGUUAGCUUAGAAGCAGCUAUUCAUUCAAAGAGUGCGUAAUAGCUCACUAGUCGAGUGACCCUGCGCCGAAAAUGUACCGGGGCUAAAACAAUUUACCGAAGCUGUGGAUACCUUUAUAGGUAUGGUAGGAGAGCGUUCUAUGUGUGAAGAAGGUGUACCGUGAGGAGUGCUGGAACGCAUAGAAGUGAGAAUGCCGUUAUGAGUAGCGA